GGCUCAGUGGUAGAGCGCUUGCCUUGCAUGCAUGAAGCCCUGGGUUUGAUUCCUAA
rnacentral:tRNA from 1 species